AAUCAAUAAUGUUUUUCAGUUUCAGCUCCUGGAAAAGCUCAGAUUAAAGCAUCAGUGGAGCAGAGAGAGAGACAAAGGGCCCUUCUCUGGGAAGAAGCAAAAUAAUAAGCCACAUCUUCACAAGUGAUCGAAGUCCAUGCAAGAAAUGCUUCUAUGACUAAAGAUUGAUGGGAGAUUUGAAAGAAAGAGAGAAGAAAUAUGUACAGAUGCUCUUUACCUUGACAGGGACUUAUGCUGAGGUCAGCAGGAGCCACUGCAGUUACCCAUCCACCUGAGAACAGGGAAGAAAAGUUAAAAUUGGUGUCAUGGAACACAACUAUAGUGUGUAUGUGAGCAACACACAGGAGUGGAGCCAGGCCUGAGACGAGGCUGCAAUAAAGGUUAGGUUCCGUCGACUGAGCAAAAGAUUGAAGACAUACUGCUGGUGGUUUUAUUAUGAAGAUAAAGAAAUCAUUAUGAAGGUAAGGUCUUCUCUGCAAAAUUACUCUUAAAAUCCAAGGUUGUGUUUAACAAAAUUUAUUGACGACACUCAUCAAAGAACAAUAAGGUAGACUUUAUUUCGGACCAUUUCUACAGCUGUAGGGACCACUGAAAUGGGGUUUUGCAGGGGGCCAGAGAGUUCAAGCUCCGCUCCAAAUACAGUUUCCUCCAAAUAAGGAAAAGUGGGAAUUUAUGGCCAAGUAUGGGGUGGGAAGCAGUCAGUGAAUGGAAAAUUGCUAAGAGGAAACAUCAGGGGUCAGGGGGACUCUGGCUAAGCCGACUUGGCAGGAUUCUUGCUGAAGGGAGGCUGGGUAAUCAGACAUCACGUGGGGGAUGGUGGAGGCCAAGGAACCCAACCCCAUAUCAAGGAUAGGGGAUUUGGCCAAACUAACUUAGCAGGACUCUUGCUAAAAUUGAACAAUGAAAAGGCAAACACAGGAGCCCAAAAUUCAUAUCCUAGCUGAAAAGAGAUAUCUUAGUCUGAGCUGCUACAACAAAAAAUGUUACAGUCUAGGUGGCUUACAUUUAUUUCUCCCAGUCUGGAGUCUGGGAAGUCCACGAUCAAGGUGCCAGCAUAUUUGGUGUCUGAUGAGAGCUCAGUUUCUGGUUCAGAGAUGGCCAUCUUCUCAAGGUGUCCUCACAUGGUGGAAGAGGUGAUGGGACUGUCUGAGGCCUCUUUUAUAAGAGCACUAAUCCCAUUCAUUAUAAGAGCUCUACCCUCCUGUCCUAAUCACCUCCCAAAGGCCCCACCUCCUAAUAUCAUCACCCUGGG